rfam:Myotis brandtii contig291003, whole genome shotgun sequence.
CAUGCAUCGGUGGGGUCCCUCGGCCUGGCUUGUGCCCUCUCGCAAUACGGGACCCUUGGGGGAUGUUGGAGAGCUGGUUUCGGCCCGAUCCGGCAGGCCAGGCCGAGGGACCCCACUGGUGCAUG